rnacentral:other from 1 species
CAUCCUCUGUAUUGCAGGUUAGUGGCUAGUAGCACUCUUGAGCCGAUAAUCAUCGACCCCGGGGGCUUGGUUGCGAGUUCGGUGUGCAUGACCGCCUGCGUGCGGUAAGCCUAAAGCACUCGUCAUUGUCCCCACAUGAACCUAUGGUUCAAGGUCGAAGGCCGCGACGGCAGAUGCGGAGGGUGU